GGCCGGAAGGUGACCCUCGAAAAGUGCUUCAGAAACCGAACUUCGCUCCACAGCCUCCGAACAAACAGACAUUCAGUUCAUAAAAAAGAAAGACUUAUAUAGAGGAUUUAAAACCUCUGUUCGGAAUAGUCCGCACUGCAAGGCUAUUCAAAUUCGCAACGUGUAAUGACGAACUACUGUCUCCGAGGCGUAUGUAGAUAUUCGGCCGGCGUAAUAAUACUUUUCGCCUCGAGAGGUGCCACGGUUGAAGCGUCAUCAGAAGGAACGAAUCAGCUAACUGCUAUGUCAGCUGAGAUGAGGAGUAAACGGAAGUAGCAGCUACCGAAGGAGCUGGUCGAUCAUCUAGUACCGAGGAAGACGAAAUCUCGACCGAAAAUGUACAAAAACAAAAGACAUCUUCGAAACGCAAGUUGUGUUACAUGCAUAUAUCUUCGGUCAAGCAUGAAGAAACACAGAAUUUCACCAAUAUACGGUGGAAUACAUAUCGAAAUUUUCGGCAGCGGCUAGAAUUGAAGGGUGAGUGCAGAGACGUAGCAACAUUUUAAGCAAUGUAUUGAGUUGGAGUUUGACGAAAUUCCCGAGGAUGCGGCUCUCCAUCCCACAUGCUACUUGAGGUUUAUUGACAAGCGGGAAAUUGAACGAGUCACACGGCGUGUCUUGCGAGAGGCAGAGAGGGGAGAUGGCCAACAAGACCCCCGAACUAGCCAGGCUACCUCCGCUUUAUCGGCUGUGACCACCACUCCGACCAGGAAACUGCGAUCCAGAUCAAGCUUGGCCAUCACGAGCUCUGGCCCCGUUCAUUCUGCUGUCUGCAUGAUUUGCAAGAAAGACAGCAAAUUUAUCGUCGCGAGUGGCAGACGUCAAAGAGAACGAAAACACAGACUUUAACCGCAGGUAAGAUUACUCUCACCCCCACCACACAGUCUAUGCGAAUGCAUCCCAUCCCCCAAAUCACACACACACACACACACACACACACACACACACACACACAGAUGUUAGUAGAAGUUGACUGACUAUCUAGCCCACACUGCUGCACAAUCAUUGUUUUUUUUGUCUAAUUCUAAUAUGAAUGCACGUGUGAAUUGGCAUAAUGUGUUAUGUGUGUGUGGGUGUGAAAUUACAUUCCAAUAGCCUGCAAAACAUCCCCAUGCCUAUAGUACCCCCAGUGUUUUAGGUUUUAGAUGUUUAAAUGAAUCACACUUUGUCUUAAAUAGGAUAGGGUAUGUUUAUAUGGAUGUCAAAGCAUGCCUGAUGUUGAUAUGACUCUGAAUAUCUGUUCAGAAAUGUGGCUCCUCAGCCUGAUGGCCUGUCUGGUUAAGACACUGCUUCUGCCAUCCCAUCCCCCGUGCCAUUCCCCUACCCCCCACUGCCCCCCUCUCUCACUUGUACACUUGGGAUUUUUCCGCUUCUGUCCCUGGGCAGCCUCAGUGACCAGGCUCAAGAGGUGUGUCCUGGCUGUGCUGUACAUCUGUGUGCUUAACCCCUUAGCACAGCACCUAUGUUAUAACCUUACUGUCACCAAAAUUUUAAUAUGUAUGUCUUAAUCUGUUACUCUGCACUGUCAUAGCAAUGUUGUUAUGAUGUAGUUUUCCGCAAAUAGUGAAUAAGCCCGCUGGCAACCCCAUCUGCACUGCAGUAAGAGGCUACGGAAUGCUUUUUUGGGGGGUGCAACACCCAUCGCCAUUUUUUUUUUUUUUACAAUACCACUCCACCAGGAAAAAUGUCUAAUUGUUUGCCUGUCUAUUUAUUCAUUCUUUUUUCUUUUCUUUUGUACAAGGCAAGUUGCAGGAAGCAGCUGAAGUAAAGGAAGCCAAGAGCAUCCUCAUUCACAUCAAGGACAGAGACUGUGUGGCUCUGGAGGUGCAGUACCACAGAAGUUGCUACAGAGAGUACACAAGGUUUUUGAGUGAGUCUGUCAGAGCAGAGAAAGAACAGAUUGGGCCAACAUUUGAUCUGAGCUACAAGUUAUUCUGCGAGAGGGUAAUCCGCUAAAGGCUACUGAUCAACCAAGAGACAGGAUAUAUUGAAGAAGAGGCUCAGUCGUGAUUUUCCUCAGCUAGUGUUCCACACCCCCGCCAAACGCAACACAUCUGAACUGGUUUUUGCUGAGAACUUGUCGACGAAUGCAGUCUUGGACUUGUUACCAUCAGGUGCGGAGACGACUCAGUCCAGCGAAAUGAGCCAGACAGACAGCGACACAGAAAGGAGGAAGUCAAAGCAACCAACCACAGCAGAGGAGACACGGACACUUUACACAGCAGCUUUGCUUUUGAAGAGGCUGCUUAGUCACAGUCCUGGCAUGUCAUUCCCAUGGCCCCCAACUGCAGUAAACUUCAAUCUCACUGAAGUCAUUUGCUGUGGCAUGCGCAAAAGAUGUGUACCUGGAUGCUUUCACACAGUUCAUGAAAAUGCCGGUUCAUGUGUAUGCCACUUGUUUUGAUUUUUUUAUUUGUUGUAUAGUUAUUAGUGAAUACAUGAAUACCUGAA